GGGUAGAAGGAAAAGGUGAACUGAGGCUUAAGGGGAAGGAUGAUGUGUGCUAAUGCAUGGGAUUUUGCGCUCACCCAGACCUUGUCUUAGGCUCACGAGCUUGUGUCUCCCCACAGAAGCUGGGCCUGUAAAAGCUUCAUCUCCCCGGCCUUGUCUCGCUAAUAUCCUGCACCCAGCACAGCUACAACAAUGCUACCGAAAGCACAGACUGGCUAGGAGCUGGAACUAUAUUCCACUGGAAAAUGCAGCUCCCCAAACUAGAAAGGCUUCCUGACAUGGGGUUGAUUUCCCUGGAAUUUUGUUUUAGAAGAAAACCAGGGGGAAAAUUCUGACAGAGUGAAAACAUCACAUUAACGUUUCAGUUUGAAAUGGUAUUUUCAUUGAGUGUUUUAGUUUGUGAUAUGUCACAUGAUACAAAGUUAAAAUAAACUCCAAAUCAAAACAAAACGUUUCAAUCCACCUGAAAUGAAACUUUUUCAGAAUUUUCCUUUGGGGAGAAUUUUCAAAUGUUUGUUUUUGUUCCAAUUCGGAAUGAAGCCAAAUCUCAAAAUCCUUUCUGAACUACAAUUUCCAUCUUCUGUGUUGCUCUAGAGAUACCAAAAGAUCACAGUUCAGUUUGCAGUGCCACCACCCAACUUCCUGUGUGUCUCCAGCUUCGGUUCCCCAGCUGUAAAAUGGGGAUAAUACCACUUCACACUUUGCAUCCAAAGUGGCAAAGAAGUCUUACCAGCAGUAAAAAUUCUUCAUCUCCGUGGGCUGUUGUGACACUUAAUGUUUGCAAAGUGUUUUCAGAGCCUUGGAUGGAAGAAGCUGUUCCGUACCCAAUGCCAAUGCAGGAGCCAGGAGAUUGGUUUUUUAGCUGUGUGUGUUGGUGCAGAAAACCUGGAGAAGCAGUGGUGAGUGUGACCCCCACAAGGGGAAGCAGAGUGACAGGACUUCUUAGGCAGACUUGGGGAUUUCUGAG